CUUGCAAACUAAAGAUGGCGACCGGCGCACGGGUGAGUAACACGUAUCCAACCUGCCGAUAACUCGGGGAUAGCCUUUCGAAAGAAAGAUUAAUAUCCGAUAGUAUAUUAAAACCGCAUGGUUUUACUAUUAAAGAAUUUCGGUUAUCGAUGGGGAUGCGCUCCAUUAGUUUGUUGGCGGGGUAACGGCCCACCAAGACUACGAUGGAUAGGGGUUCUGAGAGGAAGGUCCCCCACAUUGGAACUGAGACACGGUCCAA
rnacentral:rRNA from 1 species